rnacentral:rRNA from 1 species
CGCCAGACUCCUACGGGAGGCAGCAGGGGGGAAUAUUGCACAAUGGGGGAAACCCUGAUGCAGCGACGCCGCGUGAGUGAAGAAGUAUUUCGGUAUGUAAAGCUCUAUCAGCAGGGAAGAAAAUGACGGUACCUGACUAAGAAGCCCCGGCUAACUACGUGCCAGCAGCCGCGGUAAUACGUAGGGGGCAAGCGUUAUCCGGAUUUACUGGGUGUAAAGGGAGCGUAGACGGCAUGGCAAGUCAGAUGUGAAAGCCCGGGGCUCAACCCCGGGACUGCAUUUGAAACUGUCAGGCUGGAGUGCAGGAGAGGUAAGUGGAAUUCCUAGUGUAGCGGUGAAAUGCGUAGAUAUUAGGAGGAACACCAGUGGCGAAGGCGGCUUACUGGACUGUAACUGACGUUGAGGCUCGAAAGCGUGGGGAGCAAACAGGAUUAGAUACCCUGGUA